UUGUUUUCUUACUUUGACUCUUCACCUCGCGUCUCUGGUGUCUGUUUCUCAACUCUUCACCUCCGACUCUUUUCAUAUACAUGUAUUCCUUUGGCUUCCUUCAUAUUCCUCUGAAAUUUGACAUAAAUGUCUAUAAAUUGGAGAUGGUUGAGAGUAUGAUAGAAUCUUCACAGACCUUAUCAAUUACUCUUUUAUCUCAAACCUAGAUACCUGCUUCGAAAAUGUCUUCGUCUGAUGAUGUUGUAGUUCAAGCCCAAUCCGCCACUCAACCUUUGAUGCUCAUUGUUAAGGCUGGCUGCAGACAGAUCGUCUGACACGGCUGCUUCGAUUUUGGGCGUUGACAUCCUGCUGAUUGAUUGGAAGUCAACGCUAAUACAAGAGAGAUCAUUUUACCUGUUGAACACCUUCAAGGAAAUCUUGCAAGAGAGAUCCUUUUAUGAGCUAAGCAUUUUUUAUGUUACACGAAGCAACACGAACUUCUGGUAUGUUGCGCCCCUGUUGCAAUUAGUUUUGCAGACCAAACCAUGUUCGUUGAGAUUGCUGCGAUGGUGGAACGGAACCCAAGAAAGAGCGGUGGUUCCGCAACUUUGACACAAUCUGAUUUGGCCAACACAAAAACUGACUUGCCAGGGUUUAAGCUAACAUAAUCGAUGGAUGCCUAGCGAAAAAUAGAAUGAAGAGGAGAAGUCUAAGAAUAAAAACAAACAUCCAAUUAGUUCUGUAGAUCUAAGCACAAGUAGGAAUCGUGGAUUCUGAGGUUUCUUUGAGCGCCCAAUGAGGAAGUCUGCUCCAUACUUAUUGGGAGAUGAAUGUAUUGAGAGAUCCAGAGAAAACAUUGAUAGCUUGGAUUCCGAACCCAGUGAGAUCUAUCGGUUUGAACUUCUAAUGAAUGAAAUGAUAGAGCUGGAGAAGCGGGUCCAAAGAAGUACAAAUGAGCCGAUAAAUGAAGAGGGAAGUUCUGGGGAUCCUUCUAUAUCAAGCAGUAACACAAGGUGUGGAGUUGGUUCAGAGCUCAGAGAAAGAAAACGUCACUGGGAAAACACUCGAUCAAAUCAAAGAAACAAACACAAUAUGGAAGUCAUUCCAAGCAUUCAUGAAAACCCAACUUUUUCUGAUCAUCUUUGUUCCUUGACAUUUACUCUACAUCAUGACGUUAGUUACUGUGAUAUUUUUGAUAGGACGUGUGGCAAGGUUUCAGAUUUUUGGAUCUGAUUCAGUUGCUGCUAUGGAGCUACUUCGGAGGUCUGUAAUAGGAGAUGAGUUAACAGAGAAUGAAAAGAAAAGCUCUGCACAGGACUAUGACUGGCUUAGCAUCAGUUGUUCCCAUUGGUGUUCUUAUGAUUCUUCACUUGAGUAAAACUAUUCCCUCCGCAUUGGUUGAUCAUCCUUGGCAAUGUGUUUGAGUUGUUGAACUAAUCCAUUGGGUACGCUUAUGUAAAAACAGGUUACACCAGUUUGCCAUGCGGCUAUACUUGCUAUAAUUCAAAGAUAUGUGCCAGGCCUGGUAAUGUUCUCAUCUUUUGUAUUACAUGAGAUGAUGGCGAUGGUCAAAAAACAUGUUUGCUAACGUCUACUCGCUGCUCAUCACUCGCGGAUACUACAUCUACGUCAUUAAGACAUGGUGCAAGAAAACGACUGGAUGUAUUUGAUGGUACGAAAGGCUAAUUUGUGCGUUCAGGUCAAGCAUUGAGGCUGUUUCAAUACUAGAGGAAAUGUCUUGACCAAGCAACUUUAGAUACAAAAGCGGAGAAUACAUGUGCCUCAACUGUUCUGGAGUUUCUUCAUCAGAAUGGUAUAUUGAAUCAGUGUCUACAUCAGCGUUAUAGGAGGCAUGACUGAGCAAUUAAGACAAGUAUUCUCUGCGGUACUUUACACUUCAUUUCUCCACUAAACAUAAACAGAACAAAUCCACUGAGUCAAAAUGUAUGUAGCUUACUUUGUCUGUUUAUGAUCCUUAGGUGUGUAAGUUACACCUUCCUAAUGAAUAUAGAUUUAACAGAGUUGA